rnacentral:rRNA from 1 species
GAUGAACGCUGGCGGCGUGCCUAAUACAUGCAAGUCGAGCGAACAGACGAGGAGCUUGCUCCUCUGACGUUAGCGGCGGACGGGUGAGUAACACGUGGAUAACCUACCUAUAAGACUGGGAUAACUACGGGAAAGCGGAGCUAACACCGGAUAAGAUAUUGAAGCGCAUGGUUCAAUAGUGAAAGACGGUUUUGCUGGCACUUCUAGAUGGAUCCCCGCCGCUUUAGCUAGUUGGUAAGGUCACGGCUUACCAAGGGGACGAGGCGUAGCCGACCUGGGCGGGGGAUCGCCCACACUGGAACUGAGACGCGGUCCAGGCUCCUGCGGGAGGCAGCAGUAGGGAAUCUUCCGCAGUAGGCGAGAGCCUUACAGAGCAACGCCGCGUGGGAAGUGGAAGUCUUCGGAUCGUAAAACUCUCUUAUUAGGGAAGAACAAAUGUGUAAGUAACUAUACACGUCGUGACGGUACCUGAUCAGAAAGCCCCGGCUAACUACGUG